rnacentral:rRNA from 1 species
CCUACGGGAUGCAGCAGUGGGGAAUAUUGGGCAAUGGGCGCAAGCCUGACGCAGCAACGCCGCGUGAAGGAAGAAGGCUUUCGGGUUGUAAACUUCUUUUCUCAGGGACGAAGCAAGUGACGGUACCUGAGGAAUAAGUCACGGCUAACUACGGGCCAGCAGCCGCGGUAAUACGUAGGUGGCAAGCGUUAUCCGGAUUUACUGGGUGUAAAGGGAGCGUAGGCGGUUUAGCAAGGCAGAUGUGAAAGCCCGGGGCUCAACCCCGGAACUGCUUUUGAGACUGUUGGACUUGAGUGCAGGAGAGGGGGGUAGAAUUCCUGGUGUAGCGGUGAAAUGCGUAGAGAUUAGGAGGAACACCGGUGGCGAAGGCGGCUUACUGGACUGUAAAUGACGCUGAGGCGCGAAAGCGUGGGGAGCAAACAGGAUUAGAUACCCCAGUAGUC